UACGGAGGGUGCAAGCGUUAUCCGGAUUCACUGGGUUUAAAGGGUGCGUAGGAGGGCAGGUAAGUCAGUGGUGAAAUCCCCCGAGCUUAACUUGGGAACUGCCGUUGAUACUAUCUGUCUUGAAUAUUGUGGAGGUGAGCGGAGUAUGUCAUGUAGCGGUGAAAUGCUUAGAUAUGACAUAGAACACCAAUUGCGAAGGCAGCUCACUACACAAUCAUUGACGCUGAGGCACGAAAGCGUGGGGAUCAAACAGG
rnacentral:rRNA from 1 species